AUCGUAACAAGGUCUCCGUUGGUGAGACCAGCGGAGGGAUCAUUACCGAGUUUACAACUCCCAAACCCCUGUGAACUUAUACCUUUACUGUUGCCUCGGCGGUUCCGCCCCGGGAAAUAGGUUCGCGAGAGCCUAGCCCCCUGGAAUCAAGGCGCCCGCCGGUGGGAAUUACAGAACUCUUGUAUGUUUUUGCAUGUCUGAGUGGAAAUACUAUAAAAUGAAUCAAAACUUUCAACAACGGAUCUCUUGGUUCUGGCAUCGAUGAAGAACGCAGCGAAAUGCGAUAAGUAAUGUGAAUUGCAGAAUUCAGUGAAUCAUCGAAUCUUUGAACGCACAUUGCGCCCGCCAGUAUUCUGGCGGGCAUGCCUGUUCGAGCGUCAUUUCAACCCUCAAGCCCGCAGCGGUUUGGUGUUGGGGACCGGCUGUAGCGCUUGCUGCAUAUAGUGCAAGCGCGCGCCGCCCCCGAAAUGAAUUGGCGGUCUCGUCGCGGCCUCCUCUGCGUAGUAGCACAAACCUCGCAACAGGAGCGCGGCGCGGCCACUGCCGUAAAACGCCCAACUUUUUAAGAGUGACCUCGAUCAGGUAGGAAUACCCGCUGAACUUAAGCAUAUCAUA
rnacentral:rRNA from 1 species